CCCUUAGAUGUUCUGGGCCGCACGCGCGCUACACUGAUGCAUUCAACGAGUCUAAAACCUGCUCUGAUAAGGGUGGGUAAUCUUUUGAAUGUGCAUCGUGAUUGGGAUAGAUGAUUGAAAUUUUUCAUCUUCAACGAGGAAUGCCUAGUAAACGCAAGUCAUCAGCUUGCAUUGAUUACGUCCCUGCCCUUUGUACACACCGCCCGUCGCUCCUACCGAUUGAAUGAUCCGAUGAAUAUCAUGGAUUGAGGAUGCAAGUAGGUUCACCUAUCUUCAUCUUCGAGAAGUGAAGUAAAUCUUAUCAUUUAGAGGAAGGAGAAGUCGUAACA
rnacentral:rRNA from 1 species